rnacentral:rRNA from 1 species
GACGUAGGGCGCAAGCGUUGUCCGGAUUUAUUGGGCGUAAAGAGCUCGUAGGCGGCUCGUUGCGUCGGCUGUGAAAACCCGCAGCUCAACUGUGGGCUUGCAGCCGAUACGGGCGGGCUGGAGUUCGGUAGGGGAGACUGGAAUUCCUGGUGUAGCGGUGAAAUGCGCAGAUAUCAGGAAGAACACCGGUGGCGAAGGCGGUGGGCUGGGCCGGCACUGACGCUGAGGAGCGAAAGCGUGGGGAGCGAACAGG